GAGGGUAUAGCUCAGUGGUAGAGUGCAUGCCUAGCAUGCACAAGGUCCUGGGUUCAAUCCCCAGCACCUACA
rnacentral:tRNA from 1 species